rnacentral:rRNA from 1 species
AGGCCGAAAGGCGUAGUCGAUGGGAAACAGGUUAAUAUUCCUGUACUUGGUGUUACUGCGAAGGGGGGACGGAGAAGGCUAUGUUAGCCGGGCGACGGUUGUCCCGGUUUAAGCAUGUAGGCUGAUUAUCCAGGCAAAUCCGGAUAAUCAAGGCUGAGGUGUGAUGACGAGGCAUUACGGUGCUGAAGUAACAAAUGCCCUGCUUCCAGGAAAAGCCUCUAAGCAUCAGGUAACAUCAAAUCGUACCCCAAACCG